GCCCUGCUCGAUCCACACCCUCAGGCCCUGCCCGAUCCACACCCUCAGGCCCAGCCCGAUCCACACCCUGAGGCCCAGGAAAAGGAGACAUUUUAUAUUUUAGAUUUACACCCUGUCUCUCUCCCUGUGAAGGAACAACCCCCCCCCCAAAAAAAGAAAGUGUUGCCGGAAAUGUAGUAGGCAAAAAGUUUUCAAAUAUGACUCCAUAACAGGACGAAGGAUAAAUGAGGGGCAAGAGGAAGUAAGGGUGAAAUGGUUACCUUGCUCUGCAUGGUAAG